rnacentral:rRNA from 1 species
UUUAUUGGAACUGGAAUGAAAGGCUCAACAAACACAUAAUUUUUUAUUUUUAGAUGUUAUAAUUUUUAAUUUACGUAAAAAUACGUAAAUGAAUUUAAGGGACGAUAAGACCCUAAAAGCUUUAUUAUUUAAGUUUUUGUUAUUAUUUAGAUUUGACUGUUUAAUGUAUUUUAACUGGGGCGGUUGUUUUUUUAACAAAAAUUUUUUUUACAAAUAGGAUUAAAGAUCCUUGAAAUUAGGAUAGAUUGUUUAAGUUACUUUAGGGAUAACAGCGUUAUAAUAAUAGGGAGACCUUAUUUAUAUUGUUGAUUGCGACCUCGAUGUUGAAUUAAAUUUUUCUAUAUAAAGCAGAAAUUAUAUAUGAAAGUUUGUUCAACUUUUAAAUUUUUACAUGAUCUGAGUUCAAA